AUAUGUAAGAGGCUUUAAAAAUAUUAGUGCCAAAAUUGGAAUGAUACAGGGAAGAUUAGCAUUGCCUCUGCUCCAGGAUAAUACACAAAUUUGUGAAGUGUUCCAUAUUUUU